rnacentral:rRNA from 1 species
UACAGAGGUCUCAAGCGUUGUUCGGAUUCAUUGGGCGUAAAGGGUGCGUAGGUGGCGCCGUAAGUCAGGUGUGAAAUCUCGGGGCUCAACCCCGAAACUGCACUUGAUACUGCGGUGCUCGAGUACUGGAGAGGAGAUUGGAAUUUACGGUGUAGCAGUGAAAUGCGUAGAUAUCGUAAGGAAGACCAGUGGCGAAGGCGACUCACUGGCCCGUUACUGACGCUGAGGCGCGAAAGCGUGGGGGAGCAAACAGG